rnacentral:lncRNA from 10 species
GUUCCAUAUGAAUAUAACUUCUUGCCUAAGUUGGUUUAGGUAAGAAGACUCUUCAUGUGCCUGUUUCCUUCAAAUUUUAAGGAGAGCUCUUGCAUGGUGGUAGAACCGAGGACAGCCUAGACCUUCUGAUUGUCAACUCCUUGUUCCAUUGUGUCCAAACCUACAUGUCUGAACUCCUCUCAUCAAAGACUUCUCAAAGUUAUUAAUAACUGGGGAUCACGUAUUCAGUAAUUACACACAUCAGGCUCCAUGCUUUCUGUGCAGUAUGUAAAUUGAUUCAUUGUCAUACUAAUUAUAAAUGGCUAGUAUUAUUGCUGCUUUACAAAUGAGGCAUAUGACACACAGGGAGCUAAAUAAUUUGCCUAAGGUCACCCCACUUGUAAAUGAUGAAGCCAGGACUCAAGGCCAGGUCUGGCCACCCCUGAAUUUAAUAGCUUUAUCCUCUAUAUCUCUGUUUUCUCCCAGACCAAGGUGUCUGUACCUCUCUGCCAACAGAGAAAAGGGUUCAUUCAUUCAUCAAAUGUUUGUUGAGCAUCUAUUGUGACUCAGGCAAUAUCCUAGAUCAAGGAUUGUCAAACUUUUUCUAUAAAGGACAAGAGAGCAAACAUUUUAGGUCUCCUGGGUCAUACGGUCAGUCACUGUGAUUCAACUCUGCUGUUGUAGUACAAGAUUGUGAAAGCAGCCAUAGAUGAUAUGUCAAUGAAUGAGCAUGGUUGUGUUCCAAUAAAAUGUCACUUGCGAAAGCAGGCUGUGGGCUGGGUUUGGGCCAAGAGUUCUAUCCCUGCUCUAGGCACUGGAGUUACAAUAGCAAAAAAUUAAAAUAAAGUAAAAUAAAAACA